GUGUUCCGCAUACGCUUCCCAGUCGGUCGCCAUAUGGAAAACGCCGCCCAAUUUCAGCUUGCUCAAUACCAGUUCAGCAAACGGCACCUGAACGAUACGGCGUUUAUUAUGACGCGCUUUAUGCCACGGGUCAGGGAAAAAGAGCUGAACCAUCGAUAAAGAAUUGUCAGGAAUCAUUGUAUGCAACACUUCUACCGCGUCGUGGCACAUGACGCGCAGGUUUUCAACGCCCUCUUCAUGAGCGGACGCCAGACACGCGCCGACACCGGGUGAAUGCACUUCAAUGCCGAGGAAAUUCUGCUC
rnacentral:misc_RNA from 1 species